AAGCCUCACGCAAUCGCUUUUCACAUUGAAUUUGGUCGCGGGUGUGCUGUAAAUGCCGACUGCACAAUAUGUGACUGGCCCGCGGCCGCUUUGAAGGUAAGAUUGCGUUCUCAUCAAUCUAUUUAUUGUACAAUUUGCUUUCCAGUGACAUAACGAGCCAACAAUGAAAACCUCGAUCCACCCUGUCUCCACAUAUUAUCUAGUUUGUGCGCUGUGGAGCUUGAAGCACUUCUCAGAAUUUCAGCACACUCGCAUUUAUUUCUUUUCCGACAGAGGAACAAUGCAAGUCUCACAUCUCGAUGAGGGUGACGAUUUACCGUCUCACAUCUCGACGAUAAAACGUCGCAUCUGCGUAUGUGUUCAGGGCCAAGAGCACGAGAACUAGCCGAAAGAAGGGAGCCGAUCCAACAAGAAUGCCGUCCGUCUUAUUAUGUCAGCGCUGUCAUGCAGCGAUCACGUGGACUGUAGGGUUGCGUUGCACAAGGGCUGAUGCAAACGCUGCGUGCGAACAAUGUUGCAUGUAAAAUUAGCGCAUCUAUACAACUGCAAAAUAAACAUCUAAAGAGAGAAAACUUA
rnacentral:lncRNA from 1 species